rnacentral:lncRNA from 1 species
AACUCCUAUCACCUAAUGCAUCAAACAAGGUGAUAAAGAUUUUAAAACAGCAAGGAGGUGGCAAAUGCACCGGGGCUUGCCUGGAUAACACUACGUUAGUGUUUGUUAGACGUCGAUCACUUGACGACCAUCCUUUGUCUUGGCACUUGUUUAGAUUAUCCAUCUUCAGGUUAAUCCAUCAGCAUCAUCUUGUGGAAAAGCUCACGCUUAACAUUAUCUUAUGGUUGACUCAGCUCUGGUUUUCCACAUCAUGUGUUUAAUUAUCGUACCUAAAUGAGAUGCAUUAUGCACAUGAAUGCAUAAGGACUAGAACGAUAAUAAACAAUUCUAUAGGGUAGAGAAUUAAACACUUAACGGAUAGGCACAGUACAUCACUCAUACGAGAACACUGGUUAUCGACAUACGACUAAGCGCGAUAAUCACGCUUCUCUAAAUUAAACGAACCUAACGCAAACAUCACGAACAACAAACUAUACACAUUUAAUACAAUUAGCCUAAACACAACUCAUCAGCUAAUUGAUUAAAUGCUAAACUUAUCCCUCGCUUUAUAAAUUAUACCACUUUGCUUACAAAGAACUAAUUUAAUUUUAUUUCGCACCACACAUAUUUAUUUAAUCUAUCUAACAAUUCGGCUAACAAACUUAGUCUAAGACACCUAAUUUUGGGAAUAAGCAUAGGAGCACAUCAACUUUCUAAACCACCUGACCGGACGACUUUGCAUAACCUGCCAGCUAAUUAAAAUGUCUACUAGCAAAGCAUUAAUUUAUUUAAGCAAACUAAAUUGGUACGACAACAUCGUCACACAAUGUGCCUAUGCUAACGACAAGAAAAAUCAUUGUGGCUAUAUAACUAUCCAAUUCAAUUAACUGAAAUAAUAAAUUGGCUCACCACGAUCGAAUCGAUUUGAUAACUGCGAGGGCGACGACGGCUCUCAGUUUAGACAUCCGGUCGAGCUCCUAGCAAUUGUUGCACGGACUUUUCUCACAUUUUCAUGCAACUCCAGGAUCAGUCUCCUGGAGAUAAGGUUGACGACGAGUUCCGUGGAGUGAACGACAACGUUGUUGUACCCACGACGUGGAGAUGAAUGACGGCAACUCCACAACUUCUUCACGAGCACGACAAGGACAUAGGGCGCGGCGACUAUGCUUCACUGGCGAGAAACGUCAUGGCGAGCUAGUUGACGGGAGCAACAAACUAUGGAUUUGAAGCUCGGACAAGGAAACCAUGGUCUAAACGACACGGACAAAGGACGAGUGCCGGGGCUGUCAAUUCAUCGCACGGCCGGAUGAUGACGAUGAACAGCCGAGCACGGUAAGGAGCUGAAAAAUGACGACGGGUCUAGCAGAGGAGCUCGCGCGAUGACAACCAAACAGUGAAGCUCAUGCGCACAGUAAGGAAUACGAGCGAUGACGGCUAUGUAAGGAGUGCCAAGUUGAGGAGGGCGGGAUUCGACGGCUCGAUGUCGCCCGUGGCCGAGCACACAAGGCGACCAGCGCACGUGACGAGGAGACCACCGGUGAAGGAACUUGGCUGGCAAAUCGCGC